CCUACGGGUGGCUGCAGUAGGGAAUAUUGCUCAAUGGGGGAAACCCUGAAGCAGCAACGCCGCGUGGAGGAUGAAGGUUUUCGGAUUGUAAACUCCUUUUGUUAGAGAAGAUAAUGACGGUAUCUAACGAAUAAGCACCGGCUAACUCCGUGCCAGCAGCCGCGGUAAUACGGAGGGUGCAAGCGUUACUUGGAAUCACUGGGCGUAAAGAGCGCGUAGGUGGGAUGGCAAGUCAGAUGUGAAAUCCUAGGGCUUAACCAUAGAACUGCAUUUGAAACUGUUAUUCUAGAGUAUGGGAGAGGUGGGUAGAAUUCUUGGUGUAGGGGUAAAAUGCGUAGAGAUCCAGAGGAAUACUCAUUGCGAAGGCGACCUGCUAGAACAUGACUGACGCUGAUGCGCGAAAGCGUGGGGAGUAAACAGGAUUAGAUACCCGUGUAGUC
rnacentral:rRNA from 1 species